rnacentral:rRNA from 1 species
UACAGAGGUCUCAAGCGUUGUUCGGAUUCAUUGGGCGUAAAGGGUGCGUAGGCGGCGCGGUAAGUCGGGUGUGAAAUCCCCAGGCUUAACCUGGGAACUGCAUUCGAGACUGCAUUGCUAGAGUAUGGGAGAGGGAAGUGGAAUUUCCGGUGUAGCGGUGAAAUGCGUAGAUAUCGGAAGGAACAUCAGUGGCGAAAGCGACUUCCUGGACCAAUACUGACGCUCAUGUGCGAAAGCGUGGGGAGCAAACGGG